GCUAAACAGGAUCAACGUUUCAUACCCCUGGUUCAAGGGUUAGAAAGCCACAGGCAGACAUAUUCAAGAGCUGGAGUUGGUGACAGUGAACAUAGACGCAUGUUGUGCAGAGCUGAAGCAGGUGUAUAAAGUGGGAGGUCUGUCUGCGGUCAAAGUCCUGGGACACUUGCCAGUGCAUGUCUGCCUCUUUGCUCUCACCUUAAAUGCUUCAGGCAUCUUUGCCAUUCUUGGCACUAUCUUUCUUUCUUUCUUUCAUUCCAUCUUUCUAGUCACUAUAUUUUUUCCAAUGUUGUCCUGUAGAGUCAAUUAACAAAUCACUCACAAGUGUCACUUCCAGGGGAGUUUCUAUCCAAAUGUCGUUGCCGCUUUGACAUAAGGUCAGAGCCGUUAUCUGUAGCUCCAUUAAAUGCACUUUUGUAGAUCUGUAGUGUCACCCCUUCACCAACCCCCCAGGCUGAACAUCUGGUCAAGCCAGGUUCUGUGAGCCAUGGAGAAGAGCUCAUUAAGAAGACCGGCAUCCAAGCCGAGCAACAGGCCCACUAAUCCAGCCCACUGCCAACCCACUGCCCCUCACAGACAGGUUCAUCUGGGGGACGAGUGCAGUCUCCAUGAAGGGAGAAACCAAGCAGGGGGGUUGGAGACUACAGCAACUGAGAGCGCAUGUGAUUCCUUAUGCCUUAUGAGUCAAUGAACACCUGAACAUGUUUAGCACAUUAAUGAGACAUCUGUUUAAAACUAAAAAUCUCUCAUAAUGUGUUUUUUGAAACUUAAGCUGCCUAACCUUGCUGCCUGGUGAGUCUCUGUUUACAACAAUGUUAUUUUGGUAUAACUGAGAUAAUAUUACAGUUUUUUUUGUUUGUUUGUUUUGAAUUAGUUUUUAUUUUUGUAUUUUGUUUUCAUUUUUAUUUUUGGUUUGUUGGGAGAUUUUGUCACUUAUUAGUUAUUGUUUUACUUUUUUUGUACUUUUUUAAUUUUAGUUAUUUUAGUACAUUAAGUUAAAGUAAAUGAAAGUGAGAUGUUUUAUAUAUAUAUAUAUAUAUGUGUGUGUGUGUGUGUGUAUGUUUAAUUUUAUUUCACAUAACAGGUUAUUUUAUUUCAAGUAAUUUUUUUUAUGGUUUUAAUUUUAGUUAACUAUAAGAAUCCUGGUUUACAAGUGCAAUAAUUGAGCUACAGCUGGGUUUAUAGGCAGUCAAGAAACAGUCCUCAUUUUCAUCUAUCAUAAAGUUUGCCCAAGGAUCCAGCUUAUUUGGAACCUUAUUAUGAUUUUCUUUGAAUGUGUGAGACUUCGAGUUCAUUAGUCAGUAUAGGUAGGUAACUAGAACAACAACAAUGUGUAGUAAACAAUAAAUUAAUAAAAUGCUAUAAUAAAUAUCAAUUUCCAACAUCAAGCAGCAUAACGAUGUCUUCCACGUUCAAGUUAAAAAUGGUUGCAUCAGUUCUUGUGUUAAAAAAAUAAAUAUGGUGGAAACAUGACACAGUAAUUGAUCAUAUAAAGAAUUAAAUAUGACACUAAACCCCCCUGUCUUUCAGAGCAUGCACACAACAUCAAGGUCAGUUAAAGUCUGACUUACAUGUAUUACUCUUGCUGGAUAAAGCAGAGCUAGAA
ensembl:lncRNA